CACGGACACUCGGCGGGCGUUGUCCCCGAUCCCCGGCGACUCCCCACCCAAGCCUGCCGAGCCCACGCCCCACAGAGGCGCAGAGCGCACGCCCUCGCCACGCCACGCCGCGCCGCGCCGCACCCCGACCACGCCCCGCAGCGCCCCCCGCCCGGCCCCGCCCCGCCACGCAGCGCCGCGAUGAUGUCAUCCGGGCGCCCGUCCGCAUCCGCCAUGGACGCCGACGCAAGGCCCUCCCCUCCCAGAUCGAAGAAGGGCCCGUCCCUCAAGAGCGACAGCGACUGGAGCCCAAACCCUAGCCCCGGCGGCUCCCCGAGCGAGCAUAAGCGCAGGCGCCGCACGUCCGCGGAGUCCGCCGCGCUCGCGCUCACCGCGGUGGCCGCGCGCGCGUCCGCGGCCAGCUCCGACGCGGGCCGCGGCGCCGUCCGGAGGAGCCUACGCUCGCGGCGACGCGCGGCCCGCGUUGACGGAGACGACGGGGGCAUCCAGAUGCUCGGGGACGCGGCCGCCCGCGUCGGCGGAGGCCGUGGCGGCGUCAAGAAGUACUGGAGCGACGCCGACGAGUUCACGCUCCUCGCCGCCGCCGUUGCCUUCCGCGAGCGCAACGGCCGAGCCCCACGCCUCCCAGAUAUGGCCGAGCUGUUCGACUCCAUCUGCGACUCCAUCUCCCCGGACAUCGACCAGUUCAUGGUAUACUACAAGAUGAAGCGGUUGAAGAGCAAGUUCCAGCACUCUAAUGGCCCGAGCGACCGUCGCCUGCGCAACCUGUGCUCCAUCCUGUGGGGCGUCGGCGUCGUUCCCUCUUCCGAGGACGACUCGGACGCCGCCGAGAGACGUGGUGUCCCGGAUGCAGCAGCCAUGAUGCCGGUGGUCACCGAGGUGCUCGGGGAGUACUGGAAAAUUAAUGAGCGAGUCAUGGCGCCGGUGCCCCUUGAGAAGGGUCUGUCACUAUUAGGCAAAAAAGAGGGCAGAUUUCUUGAAACCAAGUGGAGGCAGCAGCUUGAUGAAGAGAUGCAAUCGCAGAUGCGGCAGCAUGAUCUGGCCAAGGAAGUCUGUGGCUUGCUCACUGAUGCCAUCAAGGGCCUUGGCCCUUAACUUGGAUGGAUAGUGGAAGUAUGCAGUAUGCACAUUUGCGCACGGCUCUAGUUUUCAGACGAUGCUCUCUUCUUUCCUGCCUCCUUUCGCCGGGGUUACGAGAGACUACAUUUGGAGCUUUCCUGCCGCUUGGGGGUGCGGCCGGGCGCUCGGUGCGCGUCCCGAACCUGUGACGCGGCGCGGCAUGUUCUGGCUGCCAUCCAAACAUACGAAUAUUGUUUCAUUUCAGUAGAACCAAGUUUCUUAAUAUGACCCUCGCAAAAAAAAAUCUUAAUAUGACUCCAAAUGUUGUUUUUAUGUUACACUAACAGUUUUCUUAAUGGAAUACAUGCUCAG